AGGGUUCGAUUCUGGCUCAGGAUGAACGCUGGCGGCGUGCCUAACACAUGCAAGUCGAACGGAACUUCUUUGACAGAAUUCUUCGGAAGGAAGUUGAUUAAGUUUAGUGGCGGACGGGUGAGUAACGCGUGAGUAACCUGCCUUUGAGAGGGGAAUAACUUCCCGAAAGGGAUGCUAAUACCGCAUGAUGCAUAGAAGUCGCAUGGCUUUUAUGCCAAAGAUUUAUCGCUCAAAGAUGGACUCGCGUCCGAUUAGCCAGUUGGCGGGGUAACGGCCCACCAAAGCGACGAUCGGUAGCCGGACUGAGAGGUUGAACGGCCACAUUGGGACUGAGACACGGCCCAG
rnacentral:rRNA from 1 species